CGUGGAUGUAUACCGGUCACCCUAGUCAGAAAGAGAUGACGAAAGAAUGGUUUGUAAAAACAAAGGAAUUUGUGAAAGCCGCGUUCGCAAAUGGCCAAGAAAGAAACUAUUGCCCCUGUCCUGGAUGUGACAACUAUAAAAAGACGACAGAGGCUGUAACGAUUAAACACCUGUAGAGGAGGGGUUUUAAGCCUAAUUAUAUAGUGUGGACAUUUCAUGGUGAGACUAUACAACGCACAAGAGCUGAGGUGGUCCGUCGUCGCAUGGACGAGCAUGGUACCGGGAUCAAA
rnacentral:lncRNA from 1 species